GAUGAACGCUGGCGGCGUGCUUAACACACGCAAGUCGAGCGAGUGAGUUCUUCGGAACGAUCUAGCGGCGGACGGGUGAGUAACACGUGGGCAACCUGCCUCAUAGAGGGGAAUAGCCUUCCGAAAGGAAGAUUAAUACCGCAUAACAUCGUUGAAGGGCAUCCUUCGAUGAUCAAAGGAGCAAUCCGCUAUGAGAUGGGCCCGCGGCGCAUUAGCUAGUUGGUGAGGUAACGGCUCACCAAGGCGACGAUGCGUAGCCGACCUGAGAGGGUGAUCGGCCACAUUGGGACUGAGACACGGCCCAGACUCCUACGGGAGGCAGCAGUGGGGAAUAUCGCACAAUGGGGGAAACCCUGAUGCAGCAACGCCGCGUGAGUGAUGACGGCCUUCGGGUUGUAAAGCUCUGUCUUUGGGGACGAUAAUGACGGUACCCAAGGAGGAAGUCACGGCUAACUACGUGCCAGCAGCCGCCGCGGUAA
rnacentral:rRNA from 1 species